GGAAGUGGGUACCCUCAGCUAGGAAGCCAGCAGGUGCAGGGUGAGCCCCCAGGCCUGUGUUGAUGUGCCCUGGGGAAGAGGCCGGGAAUAUCAGGAAGCAGAGACAGUUGCCAUGGGAGGGGGACUCUGCAGGAGCCAGUCCCUUCCCUGCACCCUGUAAGUCCCAAACCAACUGGGAAAGGGACACACAUGUUCCAAAUGCAUCCAAGAGCAGCUCUUUGACUAGAAAAGGUGCUUUUCGAUGGACCUCAGUGACACGGCCUCCAGCACGGCUGACCCAAGCAGACUCCUGCCUUCCUCACCCCCCGCCCCGGGCAGUCAGCAUGACCCUCUCUGUUCUCUCCAGCCCCUUUUGGUCUUCGGCGCCCUGGGAAACGUCCUCGCCCUGUGCCUGGCCUGUCACAGGGCAAGAAGAUCAACUCAAAGGGGUCCCCCUGGCCCGCCCGGCGGUGCCCGACCUCCUGCUCACCCUGGCCCUGCCCAGAAGGGUCACCUGUCACGUGCUGGACUACAGCUGGCCUCUCGGUGAAGGACUCUGCAGGCUGACGGUGCUCCUUCUCUCACACCUACGGGGGUCUGCCUCAGGGCGUGUGUGAGCCCGGACCGCCACCUGGCUGUGGUCGGCGCCCACCAGCGCCCACCNNNNNNNNNNNNNNNNNNNNNNGGCCCGUCUGGUGGCUCCCCGGGCCUUGGCCCUGCCGCAGACGGCGCCCCUGCGCUUCCUCCCCAUGACCAAGUGGGUGGCGGGCACGCUGACCUGCAUGGAGUAUGACAGCGUCGAGGGAAUCCCCAGGCUGCCCCACGGGGUCCUGGCGGCCUGUGCUUCUGUGGGCCGGUGGGGAUCAUACUAUUUUGUUACCUGAAGAUCACCUUGAAGCUGUGCGGGACAGCCCGGAGAGCCUGCCUGCUCACCCUGGUGGCCCUGGUGGCCGUGGUGGCAGUGGUUGUGGGGUUCAGCCCCUACCACCUCAACAUCAGCCGGUUCAUGCUGAGAGAGACGCUCCACCCGCCGUCCUGCCCGGAGCAGGGGGCUUUCAGGCUGUCCCUUCAGCUCACCGUGCCCCUCAUGAACGCGAACUGGCAUUGACCCCAUCACUUAUGUCUUCGCAUCGACACGGUACAGGAGAUGGCUCCUCAGCAUUUUAAAACUCGGGGUGUCCGCAUCCUCCUCCUGCCAGGGAAGGGCUUCCUCAGAAACACCAAGUCAUCAACCAGCCUGGAGCCUUAGUGCCCUUGGAAGGGAAUGAGGUCUGAUAGGUCAUGGGCUUUAAGACUGUAUCUCCAGUGAGGGGUCCAGGAUUGGAGUCUGAGGCGUAGAGUAAUUUGAGGGGUGGGUUCUUGAAGAAAAAGAGUAUAAAGACAAAAUUAGGUGCAGAGUCUUGGAUGGUGAGGGGCCCCGAAGCUUGAGCUUGCUAGCUUCAUGACGAAGCACUUCUAAUGUAUCACAAUAAAUACUACGGGAGCUCCCCGGCCUCUG
rnacentral:lncRNA from 1 species